rnacentral:lncRNA from 1 species
CAGAAACGAAGUGAAAAGGCUGUGGAAGAGGCAGUGAAAAGAACAAGAGAUGAAUUGAUAGAGUAUAUAAAAGAACAGAAAAGGCUCGAUCAAGUCAUCCGCCAAAGAAGCCUGUCCAGUUUGGAACUGUUCCUCUCCUGUGCACAGAAACAGUUAAGUGCUUUAAUAGCUACGGAACCAGUUGACAUUGAAUAAAAAGAACAUGACAAACCCACACUGGCAUUGGAUAAAUCAUAUUACACCUUCAAAAUACACACUCUGAAUUAUAAAGAUGUGUUUGUUUUCUUUCCAAAUCAUGUAGAAUUGAUUUCCAGUUCAAGGAUAAACCAAAACAAUAUUUAGAACUAUCAAGUGAUCUAAUUUAUUUUCUUUUGGUUUCUUCUUUACAUUUACUGUUAUUUUAUUAUUAUUAGUAGUAGCAGCAACAGAGUAUGAUAUGACCCAAAAGCCAUUGUAAAGUGCCACAUUACCAAAAUUAAUUAAGUAAACUUUAUAGCCUGUGGGAGUCUAUUAUAUAUUAUUUUGCAAAAGUAGUAAAUAUAUUAUUGUUUCAUGAUGACUCUUGAUGAGAUGCUAGAAUGUAACCAUACAUUUAUCUUAUUUUGAGGAUAGAAAUAGCAUGGAUUUCAACAUCACUUAUUUAUCUGUAUAAUUGGAAAUAAAACACCGAUAUGAUAGAGAAUCAUUCCGGCAUUACCUAACCUCUUCUGCAGUUGGAUCUAUGUAUUUUCAUUGGUCUACUGAAAACAAACAAUACAAUUAAAAGCACUAAAGAUUAUUAUAUUAAUUCAACUUUGAUCUGAUAUAUCACUUAAACUAAAGGGGUGUGUGUGGUGUAUGCUUGUUUCCUAUUUCUGCUCUUUAAAGAUACUUUGAAUCAAUAAAACCAUUAGUCUACAAAUCAAAUUGUGAACUUAAUCUCUAGAAAGAGAAUAUAACUCAGCCAUUUAUAGGAAUUUAGGUUCAAGUACAGGAUAUAUGAAAUCUUUUCCCAGUAUUUCAGAAUGUACUUAAUUCACAGGCAGGAUGCUUCAAUGCAAAAUCAUGAAUAUUUUUAAUUCAAAACUAAAAUGUCAUUAAUAUGUAUGUAUGCAAAUGUUUUAUCUUAUUUUCUGAAAUGCAUCUACUUUCAUGGGCUUUGUACGUUUCUGAGAUUUCUCAGUGUAAUAAAAAGAGCUCC